UACAGAGGGCUCAAGCGUUAAUCGGAAUCACUGGGCUUAAAGGGUCCGCAAGCGGAUUGGAAAGUAUCUGUGAAAUACCACGGCUCAACCGUGGAACUGCUCGGUAACUUCCAAUCUUGAACACGGUAGGGGCCAUCGGAACUCUAGGUGGAGCGGUGAAAUGCGUAGAUAUCUAGAGGAACGCCAGAGGCGAAAGCGGAUGGCUGGGCCGUUGUUGACGCUCAGGGACGAAAGCAUGGGUAGCGAACGGGAUUAGAUACCCCCGUGUA
rnacentral:rRNA from 1 species